rnacentral:rRNA from 1 species
UUCCAGCUCCAAUAGCGUAUAUUAAAGUUGUUGCAGUUAAAAAGCUCGUAGUUGGAUUUCUGGUGCAUUCCACUGGCCUAUUGGUUAACUCCAACUUGGCUCAUUUGGAAUACGCCAUCUUUAGGCAGACCCGUCGUGGCAUUAGGUUGUCGUGAUGGUUACGCCUAUCGUUUACUGUGAAGAAAUUAGGGUGUUCAAAGCAGGCUUAUGCCAUGAAUACGUUAGCAUGGAAUAAUGAGAUAGGAUUUCGGUACUAUUUUGUUGGUUUGUGUACGGAAAUAAUGAUUAACAGGAACAGUGUUGUGGGUAUUCGUAUUUCGUUGUCAGAGGUGAAAUUCUUGGAUUUACGAAAGACGAACGACUGCGAAAGCAUUUACCAAGGAUGUUUUCAUCG